AUCCCUGGCCUCACUCAGUGGGUUAAGGAUCCCGGGUUGCCAUGAGCCGUGGUGUAGGUUGCAGACACGGCUUGGAUCCCAGGUUGCUCUGGCUCUGGUGUAGGCCAACGGCUCCAGCCAGUUAGACCCCUAGCCUAGGAACCUCCAUAUGCCGAGGGAGUGGCCUUAGAAAAGGCAAAAAGAAAAAAAAAGAAAAAAGAUAAUCCUGAAAAUCCUAAAACCUUUUUAGAGCAAUUAUCAAACAGGAAGGAGUUUCUUAGACUCUAGGAAGACAGUUCAUGAUAGGAAAAGCCCUGGACAAUGAGUCAGAAGACAGGGUUCUCAAAACAAACUUCAACCUUAACAAGACAGCUGAACUCUGGGGACCAUAGUUUUCUCAGCUCUACCUAAGGGGUAGUAGGCUCUUUUUCACCAGUUUAGUGUGAAGAUUUAUGGGGAUCUGUGUGAAAGACAUUUAAAAAUGACCAUGUAACACAAUACUAUUAUCAAAAAUUAUGAAUAAUAAUGAUAGUAAAAAGGAAAGUUCUUCAGUUCUUCUCCAAAUUGUCUAAGAAGAGAAGACAUUUGUUAAGGUCAGUGUUUUUGAAAUUUUUUUUUUUUUUUUUUGGUCUUUUUGCUAUUUCUUGGGCCGCUCCCACGGCAUAUGGAGGUUCCCAGGCUAGGGGUCUAAUCGGAGCUGUAGCCACCAGCCUACACCAGAGCCACAGCAACGUGGGAUCCAAGCCGCAUCUGCAACCUACACCACAGCUCACGGCAACGCCGGAUCGUUAACCCACUGAGCAAGGGCGGGGACCGAACCCGCAACCUCAUGGUUCCUAGUCGGAUUCGUUAACCACUGCGCCACGACGGGAAUUCCUGAAACGUUAUUUGAUGUGACCUUCAAUAAGAAAAAAUCAGUUUACAUUGUGGAGCCAGGAUCUAUAUACAUAUGUCUCUGUGUGUACAUAUAUAUUGAUUCCCCAGAGAAACAGGACCAACAGGAGGUAUAUAAAGAUACUUAUUAAAAAGCCAUUGGCUCACCUAAUUACAAAGACUGAGAAUUCUUAUAAUCUUCCAUCUGCAAGCUAGAGUCCCAGAAGGCCAACGGUAUAGAUUACAGGGUGAGACUGAAGGCCUAAGAACCAGGAAUGCCAAGGGCAGAAGAUCAAUGCCUCAGUUCAAUCAGUCAGAUAGAGAGUAAAGUCAAACUUUCUCUACAUUUUCUAUUCUAUCCAGGCCUUUGAGAGAUUGAAUGAUGCUCACCCACUUUGGGAGAGGGCAAUUGCUUUCCUAAAUCCACCAAUUCCAAAGCUUAAUCUCUUCCAGACACACUUUCACGGACUUCUGAGUAUCUCUUGGCCCAGCCAGGUUGACACCUGAAAUUAACCACUACAGCAUUCAAAAACAAAAAUUUCACAAGAUAAGACUUACCUUGAAAAUAAAAGGGACUCUGAUAUGUUCUAUUCUUUUCCAUUCUACUUGAAAUAAAAUGCUGAUUAUAAUUCUUAAACUUGAUUUGGUUAAAACUCAGCCUAAAAAAUACUAGUCUAGAUUAGGGAUCAGUAGACUCCCUCUAAAGGGCCAGGUAGUAAAUCUCUUAGGCUCUGUAGGCCAUAGAGUUUCUGUUGGAGAAAGCAGUCACAGACAAUGCAUAAAUAAAUGAGCCUGGCUGUGUUUCAAUGAACCUCAUUUACAAAAUCAGGUUGCCAGCCCCCUGGUCAUAGUCUGCUGAACCCUGUUCUAGACGAACUCGAGUUUUUUUAGGUAGAAAUGUCCUAAAGGACUAUGAGAAUAUAAUUCAAAUUGCCUUAAAAACCAUCUGUGUCUCUAAGUUCAUUGCAGAACUUGCUAACAACCUCAAUUUGGCCUCCUGAAUCAAUCCACCCUCAUGGAGAGAGAGAGUUCUUCCAACAGCAGAAAUAGCCAACCCCGGGUCUCAUGACAAGUCCUCCUCCCAGUGCAAAUCAACAACCUGGCAUCUGGUCAUGAGUUGAAUUACUGUGAGUCAUUGCCCAAGAGCCUGACCAGACUUGAAUGGAAAAAGAAGUCAUAUUCUGGAGCCUACAAAACCAUGGACUGGAUUCCAAAAUGUCUCAUCUCACAAAGCACUGCCUUCCCUCUCCCACUGCUUUCCAUUUGCCCCAGCCUGGAAAAGUGAGAUUGGAAGAUUAUUAACUAUGGAAACCAAACCGAUUGUGCACUGGAAAGGGCAGUUCUGUUUUCAGCUGAGUCUUUGACACUGUGUAACUAUGAGAGAGGAAACUUCAAUGAUCACUUUGGUGAAGAACACGUUUUUUCCCAAAACUUUUUCAUAUGCAACAUAAGUGACCUUUUAGUUCGACUUUUCCAGAAGAAUCAUCUUGCCUUUGUUUCAAAGUCAGUAGAGCCCAGCUUGGUGACCCUCAACAAAGACAACCUAUGAUCCUGCAAUUGCACUCAGAGAAUCAGUGAUUUUUAACCUCCUCUGUCACCUUACUUAGUGCCUUAAAGGCAUAGGGUCAUUCAGAGCUCUCCAAGGGGUCAGAAAAUUCUCUUUUAAAGGACCAGAUAAUAAAUGCUUUAGGUUUAACAGGUCCAGAGGCAAAAGCAAAGAAAAAAAUUCAGGUACUUACAGAAUCAUUUAAAAAUGUGAAAAGUAGGAGUUCCCACUGUAGUAGAGCAGGAUUAAGGAUGCAGCAUUGCUGCAAUUGUGGCAGAGGUCACAGCUCCAACUCUGGAUUCGAUCCCUGGCCUGGGAACUUCCAUAUGGCAUGGGUGAGGCCAAAAUAAGGGGGGGGGACUAUUCCUAGCUCACAGACCCCUCCAAAACAAUUGGAGAGCAACAUUUGUCUCAUAGGCGGUAGUUUGCCAAUCCCUGGCUUAGAAGGAUGGAGGGCAGGGCAGUACCACAGCAGCAUUAUUCAACUGGAAAUAAAAAGAUAGAUUUGGCUUUUGGAAAAUAUGCUUUCAAUGUCAUUGUUUCUUUUGAUAGAUAGCAUUAAGUAAAGGGAAUUUAUUGUACUAGAAUAAGGAUAUUUACGAGGCUAAAAAUUAAGUACAUAAUUUAAGGUUAGAAAGUCUUAAAAAUAAAAUUAUGUGGUUAGAAGGCCUUAACGGAAAAAUUGUAUGGUUAAUUUUGCUUAUAAAUGUUAUUCAUGAUGUAGUGGAGAAAUAUUUUAAUCUGGUGGAUUUAGGCAAGUCCUAGUCAAUAAAUUGAAGACACAGAAAUGGUGUUAUAGAGUAAAAUUCCAUGAAAAUUCUACAUUCUUGAGAUCCAUACAAUGGAGUGAAGAAAAAAAAAUGAGGAAAAAAAAUGUUUAGAAUCUGGCCUGUAGAGCAGAAGUCACCAUGAAGAUUGGACCUGGUUGUCUUGUUAUGGGAUCCAAGACCACAUGUUAAUGACAUAUAGAAGCAAAAUCACAUGCAGGUAAUGUAGCAAUAUAACUUGGGGUGAGCUUCAAAGGGUCUUUAGAGUCCCAUUUGAAGAAAGUACCAUAGAGGGGUUGGGUGGAGAACAAAGAGUAAAAUAGUGAACAACUUGAAUGGUAAAUAUAGGAAAGAAGCUGAGUCCUUGGGAAUGAGAACAUUUGGGAUGCUGAAUAUGUCCAGCAUUCCUGCCAAACCAUCCAUCUUCAUGACUCCAUGUUAUCCCAUCUGUUCUGCUCAUCACCACUGCUGUUGACCUGAAGCAGUGUAACAAAAAAGUGAAUCAAAUGGAAAUUGUAGUCAAGGAGUGGAGCAUGAUCUUGGCUGGGAGAACAGACUCAAACUCCAGGGCUGAAGGGUGAGGUGAGGCUCCAAGUGGGAGAAUGGGUACAAAGAUCUGAAGCCAAAAGGAGCAGGAAUGUAUAGACAUGAGUACACAAACAGAAUCAGGACCAGUAGUUCAGGACAAAGGUAGGAGCAAGUUGAAAACAUGAACAGACAAAUGACUGCAGAAAAUGUUCCAUUUGAAGGCACUGGAACACUAUCAAAGCAGCGUAGAAUAGGCUGAUGGUUUCCAGAGCCAGAAGGUACAUAAAAUAGGUAAAUGUGAUAAAAAGAUACAAAUUUCUAGUAAUAAAAUUAGUCAUGGGGAUAGUAUGUACAGCAUGGUAACUAAAUAUUAUAUUGUCACCUAAAAGUCACUAAGAAAGUAAAUUCUGAACCUUCUCAUCACAAGAAAAAAAUUAUUAACUUGUAUGGUGACAGAUGUUACCUAGGUCUAUUUUUGUGAUUAUUUCACACUAUUCACAAAUAUUAAGUUGUACACCUGAAACUAAUGUAAUAUGUCAAUUAUAUCAAUAAAAGAAAUCAUUAAAUAAGAAAAGAUCGCCAUGAGAAAGAAAUAGAUACUGGCUUGUAAAAAAAAAAAGCAGCAGAAACGAAAAGCACAUUAAUGUGAGUCUGAUAUUCUAGACAUAUUUCCUCUUGAAGCAUUUACUAAUAUUAAAGCAGCUCAGAGCCAAGAGACUAAGAAGAGUGUAUAAAGUGGUGUCUAAGAGGCUGAGAGGCUAAGAAGAGAUUUUGGUAAUCUCAUAGAGCCUUAAAGACAGCAAUUGAAGGUCAGAGCUCACCAAAGAGAAGGAGCUCUGGUAAACACCCCAGACUUCUAGUUAGAACCAUACAAAGCAUAAACCCUAGGAGCAAAGGUAAACAGGAAAUAUACCAUCCCUCACAAAAUCUGAAAGCACUGUCCAAACUACUCAAUCAUAAACUGAAUUAAAGACAUCUGACUCAAUUCUAACUGCCUGCAGAAAGAAAAAAUUAAUUCUCUAUUGAAGAAUAUGUCAUUUGAUCUCAAUAAUUUUCCAUAACCAAUAUUUGAUUCUCAAUAAAGAAAUUACCGGAGUUUCUGUCAUUGCUCAGCGUUAGUAUCCAUGAGGAUGCAGGUUCGAUCCCUGGCCUCUCUCAGUGGGUAAAGGAUCCGGUGUUGUUGUGAGCUGUGGUGUAGGUCACAGAUGCAGCUCGGGUCUGGCAUUGCUAUGGUUAUGGCAAAUGCCUGCAGCAGCAGCUCCAAUUCGGUCCCUAGUCUGGGCACUUCCAUGUGUCACAGGUAUGGCCCUAAAA
rnacentral:lncRNA from 1 species